AGUGAACGCUGGCGGUAGGCCUAACACAUGCGAGUCGAACGGCAGCACAGUAAGAGCUUGCUCUUACGGGUGGCGAGUGGCGGACGGGUGAGGAAUACAUCGGAAUCUACUUUUUCGUGGGGGAUAACGUAGGGAAACUUACGCUAAUACCGCAUACGACCUACGGGUGAAAGCAGGGGAUCUUCGGACCUUGCGCGAUUGAAUGAGCCGAUGUCGGAUUAGCUAGUUGGCGGGGUAAAGGCCCACCAAGGCGACGAUCCGUAGCUGGUCUGAGAGGAUGAUCAGCCACACUGGAACUGAGACACGGUCCAGACUCCUACGGGAGGCAGCAGUGGGGAAUAUUGGACAAUGGGCGCAAGCCUGAUCCAGCCAUACCGCGUGGGUGAAGAAGGCCUUCGGGUUGUAAAGCCCUUUUGUUGGGAAAGAAAAGCAGCAGGUUAAUACCCCACUGUUCUGACGGUACCCAAAGAAUAAGCACCGGCUAACUUCGUG
rnacentral:rRNA from 1 species